rnacentral:sRNA from 3 species
UAUCCCCCAAACUAAGGGGGGAUGAGAACCACCGACCGGGGUUCGACAACUGGCGCAGCCAGUUGGACAGACGACGAGCCUGCGAGGAGACUGCCCGAAGGGCGAGCGCAGCGAGUCAAUCCCCCCCCUCACCGCCA